UACGAAGGGGGCUAGCGUUGCUCGGAAUCACUGGGCUUAAAGGGUGCGUAGGCGGUUUGUUAAGUCUGCUGUGAAAUCCCCGAGCUCAACUUGGGAAUUGCAGUGGAUACUGGCAAGCUGGAGUACGGUAGAGGAAGGUGGAAUUCCCGGUGUAGCAGUGAAAUGCGUAGAGAUCGGGAGGAACACCAGUGGCGAAGGCGGCCUUCUGGACCAGUACUGACGCUCAUGCACGAAAGCGUGGGGAGCAAACAGG
rnacentral:rRNA from 1 species